GUAGCUACAAGGAGGGUGACAACCGCUCACCGAGCACUCCGGCACGUGGCAGGAAGUAAUGAUCACACUGCUACAGAAUGUUUGUUCUCCGCAUGUUGUGAGGGACCACUGCCUCUUUUAUUUGUCUCUGAGAUUUAUUUUUUCUGUUUCUGUCAUAACCACUGAAGUUUUCUAAUGAGUCUCAUCACCGGCAUCGAAUGAAAGCAAGCAAACAACGAGUUUAUGCCUUUGGAUGCAAAUAGAGCUUCUGGCUCAACGCACGCAACUCCCACUGCACUUCUAGAAAUGGCACUACCCUAGAAGAACUGGAACGUUUCAAAGCAUUGCUUGCAAAUGCUGACGUGGGGAAUGAUGGGUACUGGGCGAGAGCAGAUCUUUCAAUGCAAGCAAUGCCACACCACUGGCUUCGAAGCGAUGACUUCCAGGCAGGGACUGGAUGCCCCAAGGGAGAUCCCAUCCACCCUGAAGGAGGAGUACACUUGCCAACCUAAGAUAUUUCUUGAGAAUUCAUUGCGCUACAAAUCACAGCCAGGGAAUGAAUACAAAUCCUGUGUGACGUGUCCAAGCGAGACAGUAUUCUUAAUCCUUUUGCAGUUGUCUAAACACAGCAAAAGAGAAGGCAAGACUAAGACCUGCUAUGCAAAGGAUCAAAAAAUGUUUACUGAGGUACAACACGAAGAAGUGAGCCUCAAGAGUUUGUCCCCACAAGCACUUCAUUGGCCAACAGCCGGCUCACGGCAAAGACUCAAACCAUGGGGCCGUGGGGUGGGUUCUGCCCUGCUCAAAGAACGAGCUGACGUAACGCCUUGUCGUUUCUAUCCUGCAGACAAUGGGACAGGCUGCCAAAGGAUGCACCGAUUCACUGCUGCUGAUGCCACCCAACGCGAGGCAUGGGCUUCAGUGGUCAGGAACGUGGUAGGUGCAUGGGAGCUGCGGAUCAGUGGGGAGAAGCAGUGAAUUGCCUUUUGUCCAGAGUAUGAGGCCAUAAACUGACAGCCUGUGACUUGGCAGAAGUGUGACAGAAGAGCCUCAUUUCACGUGUGGGAUAGUAGAAAGAGAAGCUGUACAGCUUCAGGCAGGAAGGAGCUCUCUCUCAAAACAAAACAAAAACACACAAGAAAAAUACUGUGUAUUUUUAAUGUUUGUGUGGCACUCGGAAGCUGGAAAUUGUUAUAAGUACCGAAUAUUAUGUUCUCUAAUGUGUAAAACGGUGACUAAUGCUAUUACAUUCUGUCAUACAGAGGCCCUUGGGAUGCAAAUUCAAAGAGACACAACAAAUAACCAUAAACUAAAAAUUAAAAAGAAGAAAAAAAAAAAAAAGGAAGGGGAAUAAAAUCCCUCUUCCCAUUUCAGUGUGGAUGUGCCGACUGUUGGCUCACCUGGGCUCUUCUCCCUGCUCAUCCUUCUGUGCUGGAACAGCCCUUUCAAGCUCACCCUCUACCACCACUCUCAGCAUCACUCUUCCACCCAGGCUCCACCCCAGGGAUCCCUCAUGUCUCCUGCAGUUGGAGGAGCCCUACCCGGCCCUGGCGGAAGGGGUUGGAAUGCAGUGUGGUGUGAAAAGCCCUCCCAGCUAAUAGGAAAAAAAGCCCUAUUAUUUGUUUUCCCUAAACCCACGUAUAAUAAGCUGAGCUUGAUGAAAUGUGCUGGAUGAAUGCAUCCUUCGUGUGGCUGUUUCUAGGGGAGUGAAUUUUUUUCUUUCUCCUUUUAAUUAGCCAGGCUUAAAUUAGCAGCAUCUACAGUUGAUAUUCCUCCAUGAGCAGCUAGAACAUUUUCAAUCAGGAGCCUUAUUAAUAUGCAUAAAAGUGAUUUGUUUUGAUUUCAGUCUGGAAGGGCCUCUUUCCCCCCGUUUCCAUUUCUGCUCUAAAUGAAGGUGGAAUCACAGUGCAGUGGCCAUGUACGCGUGCAUGAAAGCUCCUGUUAGCUGGGGAAAUCCUUUGCAGGGAGCUUCAGGAACUCCCACCUGGGCAAGAACUUGUUCUGCUGUUUUUCUGUGCUGAAACAACAGCCCAACUUGGGAUGGAGUGCUUGGCCCCGUGCUCUGUCCUUGCCCGGCCCCAGGCUCACAUAGAGAAAUGCCCGUAGCAUCUGCCAGCGCAGCCACCGGAUUUUCCUUACAUUCAACAGAUGUACAUUUUAAUUUCAGCUCAUCUGAAGUUUUUCUCACUCCCAAAUAAUGCCAAUUUUUAUGUAAAAAAAAAAAAAAAGGAAGUGGCUUUGAUGUUUUUUUCCCCAAGAAAAUCCAAGAGUUUCUGUUAAUCUCAGUUACAUUCAGUAACAGUGUCAGAUUCUUUUUUUUAUUCAAUGAAAGUGUUUCCAAGCCUGGAGUUUUUCUUCUAGGAAAUGCAUGGCAAAAACUCCAUUCUUGUUUCCUAACUGAGAGACUCAGUGGACCCCAGUCACAUGCUUGAAUCAGAAGAUCCAAUUCUUCAGAUGCGGGUUACUCAGAUUCAUGCAAGGUUUGAACCACACUGGUUGCACACAACAGUGAUUCAUACUGCGUAGAUUUGCAGUAGGCCGGGUGUGCCAUCAGAAAAAAACAUGGCUGUUCCUCUGGACCAGUGAUGCACGGGCAGAGGGUACUGCCCUUGGGGGCUCUGUCCCCUCUCCCAUCACUGCAGAGCAGUUGUGAGGGACCUGAAGAUAGGAGUGAUGGGACAGGCAGAUCAUAGACUCAGAAUAUCCUGAGUUGGAAGGGACCCAUGAUGAGCAUCGAGUCCAACUCCUGGACUGGUAGACUGCUGAUGGACAGAGCGGAGGCUGUUGGGCUGGCACGAUGACAAUGUGCUGUGCUGCCAUGGCCCUUUGAUGUGGUCAAAAAGCCUGUGAAGAAAGGAUUCCCCAAACACUGCCCUCAAAUGGAAGAGUCUUGUGAUCAUGGGGACAAGAGUAAUGCCUCUAAAUGACAUUUGUUUCCAUGAGUUGGAAGGACGGGCUUUUGAUGUGUGCUUCCAAUGUGCCUCUCUUCUCCUGCAUCUCAUGUCCCCAGGGUUUCCUGGUGAAGGAACUGGAGCCCUGCGUGUCCCCAGAAAUUAAAACAAGAACUGGCUUCUGCAGUAUUUCCUGAAAAGCGUUUUCAUCUCAUGGAAUCUGUCCUAACAGCAGCCCCGAAGCACCAAAGAUUUCAUUUUCAUCUAGUAGCGAUCAAAAGCAACAUCAGCAGGGAAUAAAUACACAAAGCCACGCUGCAGGGACAUUAUCUCACAUGACAAGGCGGUGCUGCUCGGUUUAUUAAAAAAGAGAGCUCAUGUGCGGCUUUGCUCCGUCACUGAGUGUUUCAGGCACUUUGCUCCGCUUGUGGAGAAGCGAGACCCAGAGCUGCUCGGAUGGAGCAGCCUCCUGAAACCCAGUGGGAGUCCCAUUUGGGCUGCCCCCACCCUGGGAUGGCCCUCGCCUCCACCCCACACGCCUGCAGGCUCACCUUCGCAUCAUGGGGGACCGCAGGGUUACGUCCACCGAAACACACACUUCAUCCCCACAACAGAACAUGUGAUGCUGUUCCCUUGGCAUGGGAAUGUGCUGUUGGGAGCAGCCAUUAGCACCGCAUCCCUUCCCGUGCCAUCAGGCAGCCGAGAUGCUGCUGCUCUGAACCCAAGGCUGGAGGACAACGUGCUUUUAAUUCGCGCAGUAAAACUAGAAGGGCCUUUUUGGCACCACAGCUGUCAGAACGCAAUGAAAUGCUGCUGGGUGCAGACUUGCUGAAAGGGGGAAGGGAUCAAAUCCACUCCUGGAGGAAAGCAGCCGCUGCUGUCACUGCAGAGCUGUCAUGGCAGAUGCCACUGUGCCCCUGAGGUGGGACAAGGCAAGACAAAACAGAAGUUUACAUGGAACAACCAAAUAAUGAAUGAGAUUUACUGAAGUUUAACGAAGGGCACGGCUGUGCGGAGUGGGAGUGCUGGCCCUGGAAACAAGCAGCUGCAGUGCAGGGGCUCCCGGGGCACAUGGUAUUUUCAUUCCCAGGGGUUUUCUGUAACACAUCUCUGGAGUUGGGGUAAGUGCUGGGCCACAUGGCUAUCACUAUGGAAACGAGUAUUUUUACACGGUAAAAAAUAGUCCCCUAAAACUCCCGUCAGCUGUUGGUGCUAAAGCCACUCAGCGAGGCACGUGGCUAUGGGAGAGCAAAUGGUGCCUCUUCCAGGAGAGUGAUGGUGGCACCUGCUGGCACUGGGGAAAAGGAGAGCACCCCUGUCUCCAUCCAGUUCCAUGUGUGCACGAUGCCAACGAGCCGGCCCCUUUACAUGCUGCUUUAUAGCCUCCAUCUUGAGGACAUGCGACCUGCACGCAUUGCUGAGCCUCUCCUGCAGAUUUGGUAACUUUGAUACUAUUUUGUAGUGUCACCCCACUGCACAACAGGUUGGUUCAGCUCCACUUAUUUCUAUAUUGGAGGCAUGAUUAUAUACUGGAGAAUCUUGGUUUCAUCAUCACAUAUACCAUAUAUAUAUAUAUCAAGGCUGGGCUGGAUGGGGCCCU